rnacentral:rRNA from 1 species
GAUGAACGCUGGCGGCGUGCUUAACACAUGCAAGUCGAACGGUGAACCAGGAGCUUGCUCUUGGGGAUCAGUGGCGAACGGGUGAGUAACACGUGAGCAAUCUGCCCCUGACUCUGGGAUAAGCGCUGGAAACGGCGUCUAAUACUGGAUACGAGCCGUGAAGGCAUCUUCGACGGUUGGAAAGAUUUUUCGGUCAGGGAUGAGCUCGCGGCCUAUCAGCUUGUUGGUGAGGUAAUGGCUCACCAAGGCGUCGACGGGUAGCCGGCCUGAGAGGGUGACCGGCCACACUGGGACUGAGACACGGCCCAGACUCCUACGGGAGGCAGCAGUGGGGAAUAUUGCACAAUGGGCGCAAGCCUGAUGCAGCAACGCCGCGUGAGGGAUGACGGCCUUCGGGUUGUAAACCUCUUUUAGCAGGGAAGAAGCGAAAGUGACGGUACCUGCAGAAAAAGCGCCGGCUAACUACGUGCCAGCAGCCGCGGUAAUACGUAGGGCGCAAGCGUUAUCCGGAAUUAUUGGGCGUAAAGAGCUCGUAGGCGGUUUGUCGCGUCUGCUGUGAAAUCCCGAGGCUCAACCUCGGGUCUGCAGUGGGUACGGGCAGACUAGAGUGCGGUAGGGGAGAUUGGAAUUCCUGGUGUAGCGGUGGAAUGCGCAGAUAUCAGGAGGAACACCGAUGGCGAAGGCAGAUCUCUGGGCCGUAACUGACGCUGAGGAGCGAAAGGGUGGGGAGCAAACAGGCUUAGAUACCCUGGUAGUCCACCCCGUAAACGUUGGGAACUAGUUGUGGGGUCCAUUCCACGGAUUCCGUGACGCAGCUAACGCAUUAAGUUCCCCGCCUGGGGAGUACGGCCGCAAGGCUAAAACUCAAAGGAAUUGACGGGGACCCGCACAAGCGGCGGAGCAUGCGGAUUAAUUCGAUGCAACGCGAAGAACCUUACCAAGGCUUGACAUACACGAGAACGCUGCAGAAAUGUAGAACUCUUUGGACACUCGUGAACAGGUGGUGCAUGGUUGUCGUCAGCUCGUGUCGUGAGAUGUUGGGUUAAGUCCCGCAACGAGCGCAACCCUCGUUCUAUGUUGCCAGCACGUAAUGGUGGGAACUCAUGGGAUACUGCCGGGGUCAACUCGGAGGAAGGUGGGGAUGACGUCAAAUCAUCAUGCCCCUUAUGUCUUGGGCUUCACGCAUGCUACAAUGGCCGGUACAAAGGGCUGCGAUACCGUAAGGUGGAGCGAAUCCCAAAAAGCCGGUCCCAGUUCGGAUUGAGGUCUGCAACUCGACCUCAUGAAGUCGGAGUCGCUAGUAAUCGCAGAUCAGCAACGCUGCGGUGAAUACGUUCCCGGGUCU